rnacentral:tRNA from 1 species
UGCACUAGUAGCUCAGCGCAGAGCACCG